UAUAGGCCUGCCGCCUACAGUAGAUGCAAGCUACACUAGGUUAUGUUCAGUCAAUAUUGAAGAGGAUGAAUUCGGUUAACAAUCAUCAACCAGCCGGAUCGACCGGCAGAAAGGGGCGACGGGGCAAGUCACCAUGCUCGGGUCACGUGAUGAAAGCGAGGCUCAUCGAUUGGCUGCAGGGGAAUUCCAGGUCACCAUCCAUCGCUCAGCAACUCACUGGCAUUUAGCUCCAGGUGCAUGCUGGGUAUUUUCACAAUAGAUGGGAGGAUUCCACUGAAUCGUAGAAAAUGUCAGGUUUGGGUUAACAUAAUAAAAUGUGUUUAGUUUAA